GAUGAACGCUGGCGGCGUGCCUUAUACAUGCAAGUCGAGCGAACGGACGAGAAGCUUGCUUUUCUGAUGUUAGCGGCGGACGGGUGAGUAACACGUGGAUAACCUACCUAUAAGACUGGGAUAACUUCGGGAAACCGGAGCUAAUACCGGAUAAUAUUUUGAACCGCAUGGUUCAAAAGUGAAAGACGGUCUUGCUGUCACUUAUAGAUGGAUCCGCGCUGCAUUAGCUAGUUGGUAAGGUAACGGCUUACCAAGGCAACGAUGCAUAGCCGACCUGAGAGGGUGAUCGGCCACACUGGAACUGAGACACGGUCCAGACUCCUACGGGAGGCAGCAGUAGGGAAUCUUCCGCAAUGGGCGAAAGCCUGACGGAGCAACGCCGCGUGAGUGAUGAAGGUCUUCGGAUCGUAAAACUCUGUUAUUAGGGAAGAACAUAUGUGUAAGUAACUGUGCACAUCUUGACGGUACCUAAUCAGAAAGCCACGGCUAACUACGUG
rnacentral:rRNA from 1 species